AGUCAAUAGAUACCCGGGUAGUCCACGCCGUAAACGAUGAGUACUGGGUGUAGGAGGUAUCGACUCCUUCUGUGCCGCAGUUAACACAAUAAGUACUCCGCCUGGGAAGUACGGUCGCAAGAUUAAAACUCAAAGGAAUUGACGGGGGCCCGCACAAGCAGCGGAGCAUGUGGUUUAAUUCGAAGCAACGCGAAGAACCUUACCUAGACUUGACAUCUCCUGAAUAGUGUAGAGAUACAUGAAGCCCUUCGGGGUCGAGGAAGGACAGGUGGUGCAUGGUUGUCGUCAGCUCGUGUCGUGAGAUGUUGGGUUAAGUACCCGCAACGAGCGC
rnacentral:rRNA from 1 species